AGCCAGGAGGAAAGGAUUACAAUCAUAAUAAAUGAGCUACCUUUCAGAUCUUGUCUCUUCUUGUGCUCAAUGUCAGCAGGGGUUCUGAGAUGUAAACUGUCCCCAGCAGAUGUUAUGAAGGCUCAUGAAGUGAAAUUAUAUAUUAUAUACGAAAUUAUAUAAAUGAUUAAUCAGGUUGGCAUUCCAUUUACUAUUUUCUUGCUUACAUUUUUAGACUACUUCUGCCUGACUCCUCAUUUCCUGCCAACACCAGAGCGUCUCCAUACAGAGUUAUGGCAAAGAUGGCUAUGACUGCUACAAUGAUACUACUGGACAAGUUUUGCCUUCAAGAAUUAAAUGUGAUGACCUGUUGACAUGCAUCACAUCAAAAGAAUCAUCAUGACCAGGAAGGAAGGGUCCCCCUGCUCUUACAGGUGGAUGACUGUACCUAGAUCCUGUGACCCAAUUUUGGGUGCUAGUUAGUAGCAAACAUAGGCAGUGACUAAAAAGAAGGGCAAAGUGGGGCCAGUGGUUUUUUAUGAAUGAGUUUUGCCUUUUUUACAAAUGAGCAUAGGCAACGCAAUCCGAAAUGUCUUUUCUAUGUCUUUUAUGAACUUUUGGGUAUCAGGGACCCAUUUUCCCUCUCCUGCAUGAACUCCCAUGUAUUCCUUACACCGUCUCCUAGUCUUAGAGUAAAACCCCCAGUCAGCCCUCUUGCCUGCCUGAGCUGAUGGGGAACCUCUGGGAUUCCCCCCCCCCUUUCCCCUAUGGAAAAACACAAAAGGAGAUCAAAGCCCUUUUAGGCGCCCAUAGGACCGACUGUGUUUGUCUCCCCAACCCAUGGGAUGCUGGAUCUCGUGAUUCUCCCCACAAAUGGAUUCCAUAUGUGUCUCCUAUUAUUUUUAUUAUUUUUAUUAUCAUUAUUUUUUAAUCUUUAUUAUUUCCUAUGAUAUCUUACCCCUUAUGAAUAAGGCAUUGUGACCCUGACAUGAACUCUGAUCAACACAUCAUUUCAGCCGGGCACCAUCAGGAUGCCUAAGGCUAUGUAUUACUAAUAUGGGUUACAGAAAUCACCCUCUGAAGAAGAGACAAUGGACUUCCUUUCUGGAUUUCGGAGGACACAGAUGCCAGACCAUCUAAGAGGAAGGAACCUUUGGACAUUCUAAGUCACUCAUCAUAAAAGACUCAUUCUCCUGACAGGGAGACAAGAAAUCACCAGUGAUCAGACAAAAGCCACCUCCUUCCUUGGACUCUGAAUCAUACACAAUCCCAUCAAGGUUCCUGCCAUGACUGCUUCUUUCACAAUGAGGCUGGCCAGCAUGAGUCAGACUCUCAUUCAUGAAAAUUGUUAAAUCAAUCAAUGAAUCCAUAGCCAGGUCCAGUUUGAGAGCCUGAAAGCUUUCGCCACAUCACUUGACAAAGGCUUGCUAUAGUCACUCAUAAUCCCUUCAUCAACAUAUGUUUGUCUUUGUUUUUUCCGUUGCCACGCCUCCAUUUCCCCAUUGGCUGCCGAGAGAGUGACAUCACAAGUGGGGCUUGCGCUCCCAUUGGAUGAGGCAUGCGAGCCUCCAAAUUGCCCCUCCUGCCUCCUGAUGUCAGGGACUCCCCUAGCCAAUCAGCGAGGAGCCAGCCAGCAGGGCGGGGGCAGGAAAUUCAAAAUGGUAAAGUAUAAAAAGUGCAUUUUUCUAUGUAAUGGCAUGUCGGUUCUUUGUGCAACUUAUUGCUACCGUCAUCCUGCUGCAGCUGGACAGAAUAAAGCGUCGGUGAUCUCUACUUCAAACCUAGGCCUGAAAGGAUGUCUGAUGCAGAGACUUCAUUCAAAAGGAACUGGACAUAAGCAAGCAAUACAGUGUAAGACAUUUUAUCCCCUUUGACAGUCAUUCAAAAGACUCGCUCCCUCCCCUGAUUGGCACAGAAGCGUCCAAGCCAAGAUCCGGACUUUCAUUGGCUGGGGACUCCCGCUGACGUCAGAGGUGGAUGGAGCUUUCCCCAUGGCGGGAAGAAUUGAGAAUUCCCAUUUGUCCUUUUGAAGUUGGAGUCGUUCAGAGCACUACCCAGGCUUGGACUUAAUCAUAUGGGUUGUGGCAACACAAAGAGUCUGUGAUGAUAUUGUACCGUGUUUCCCUGAAAACAAGACAGUUUCAUAUUAAUUUGUGCUCCCAAAGAGGCGCUAGGUCUUAUUUUCAGAGGAUGUCUUAUUUUUCCAGAAGAAUUCACAUUUAUUGUUGAACAAAAAAUGAACAUUUAUUAUGUACUGUACAGUAGUUGUCAUCACAAACCAACAUAACCACACAAACUGUAAGUCCUAUCAAGAAUUUCUUGUUACUACCAUUAUUUCCAUGUACAACAAUCUAUGGUAUGUACAUAUCCCGAUCCUGCAUGCUCUGGUGUUCUGUUCGUUGGGGAUGCUUCCAAACAAAAACUUUGCUAGGUCUUACUUUUGGGGGAGGCCUUAUAUUUAGCAAUUCAGCAAAACCUCUACUAGGUCUUAUUUUCAGGGAAACAGGGUAUGAGCCAGUCUUUGAUACAAUGGGAAAGCUUCAGUAAAUAUAGAUAACUGAAUGGAAAGUAUACAGAACAAUAUAAAUCCAAUUGAGGCACAUAUUUCUGAAACACCGGGAUUUUCUCCCGGAUCCUGAUCUUAAUUGCAUCUUAAGGGAAGAUAUUUUCCUGUUUACUUUGCUUCCCAGAGGGGAUUUCUUCCCAGCAGGACACUGCACCAACUUCCCAGAUGUACACAUCCCAACGGUUUUAUAAGCAUAUACAUGUCACCAUAAGAUCUUAUAGUUCUCCGGAGUACACAGGGUCAUAUCUAUUGCUGUACUGGCCAGUGCACCCCAAUACAUUUCUAAGCCCCCCCUUAUAUAUAUAUUUCCAAUAAAUUGUAUUCAUGUAUUCAGACAUAAGGAAAACUCAGAGGGUUGCUUAAGCGAUGUUGAAACUCACUGGGUGAGUGGCUGGGGAUUAUCCCAUUGUCCCAUGAACAUUUACCUUCCACUUCCCCAGUUCUUUGGGCUGGGUAAACAAUUGAUUAAAUCCUCUCUGGCUU